ACUGCUCAGUAACACGUGGAUAACCUGCCCUCAGGUCUGGCAUAACCCCGGGAAACUGGGGAUAAUUCCGGAUAACGCAUAUGUGCUGGAAUGCUUUAUGCGUGAAAGGUCCUCCGCCUGAGGAUGGGUCUGCGGCCUAUCAGGUAGUAGCGGGUGUAAUGUACCUGCUAGCCGACGACGGGUACGGGUUGUGAGAGCAAGAGCCCGGAGAUGGAUUCUGAGACAUGAAUCCAGGCCCUACGGGGCGCAGCAGGCGCGAAAACUUUACAAUGCGGGAAACCGUGAUAAGGGGACACCGAGUGCCAGCAACAUUUGCUGGCUGUCCAGGUGUGUAAACUACACCUGUUAGCAAGGGCCGGGCAAGACCGGUGCCAGCCGCCGCGGUAACACCGGCGGCCCGAGUGGUGAUCGUUAUUAUUGGGUCUAAAGGGUCCGUAGCCGGUUUAGUCAGUCCUCCGGGAAAUCUGUCAGCUCAACUGAUAGGCUAUCGGGGGAUACUGCUAGACUUGGAACCGGGAGAGGUAAGAGGUACUACAGGGGUAGGAGUGAAAUCUUGUAAUCCCUGUGGGACCACCUGUGGCGAAGGCGUCUUACCAGAACGGGUUCGACGGUGAGGGACGAAAGCUGGGGGCACGAACCGGAUUAGAUACCCGGGUAGUCCCAGCCGUAAACGAUGCUCGCUAGGUGUCAUGCAUGGUGCGACCGUGUAUGGUGCCGUAGGGAAGCCGUGAAGCGAGCCACCUGGGAAGUACGGCCGCAAGGCUGAAACUUAAAGGAAUUGGCGGGGGAG
rnacentral:rRNA from 1 species